rnacentral:rRNA from 1 species
AAAUGAAUUGACGGGGGCCCGCACAAGCAGUGGAGUAUGUGGUUUAAUUCGAAGCAACGCGAAAAACCUUACCAGGGCUUGACAUGUACAGGAAUAACAUGGAAACAUGUUAGCUCUUCGGAGCCUGUAUGCAGGUGGUGCAUGGUUGUCGUCAGCUCGUGUCGUGAGAUGUUGGGUUAAGUCCCGCAACGAGCGCAACCCCUAUUGUUAGUUGCCAGCAUUAAGUUGGGCACUUUAGCAAGACUGCCGGUGAGAAAUCGGAGGAAGGUGGGGACGACGUCAAAUCAUCAUGCCCUUUAUGUCCUGGGCUACACACGUACUACAAUGGGUGUAACAAAGAGAAGCAAGACAGUGAUGUGGAGCAAAACUCAAAAAGCACCCCCAGUUCGGAUUGAAGGCUGAAAUUCGCCUUCAUGAAGUUGGAAUUGCUAGUAAUGGCAGGUCAUCAUACUGCCGUGAAUACGUUCCCGGGCCUUGUACACACCGCCCGU